UGCAGGCGCAUGCUGUACUGUCAGUCGAGCGCUGGAAGCUAAUUCUCAUCCCUUCGGGAUGAAUAGAGUGGAACGAGCGGCGGACGGGUGAGUAACACGUGGGCAACCUACCUAUAAGACUGGGAUAACUCGCGGAAACGUGAGCUAAUACCGGAUAAUACUUUUUAUUGCAUAAUAAGAAGUUUGAAAGGCGGCGUAAGCUGUCACUUAUAGAUGGGCCCGCGGCGCAUUAGCUAGUUGGUGAGGUAAAGGCUCACCAAGGCAACGAUGCGUAGCCGACCUGAGAGGGUGAUCGGCCACACUGGGACUGAGACACGGCCCAGACUCCUACGGGAGGCAGCAGUAGGGAAUCUUCCGCAAUGGACGAAAGUCUGACGGAGCAACGCCGCGUGAGUGAAGAAGGUUUUCGGAUCGUAAAACUCUGUUGUUAGGGAAGAACAAGUCAGGUAGUAACUGACCUGACCUUGACGGUACCUAACCAGAAAGCCACGGCUAACUACGUGCCAGCAGCCGCGGUAAUACGUAGGUGGCAAGCGUUGUCCGGAUUUAUUGGGCGUAAAGCGCUCGCAGGCGGUCUUUUAAGUCUGAUGUGAAAGCCCACGGCUUAACCGUGGAGGGUCAUUGGAAACUGGAGGACUUGAGUGCAGAAGAGGAGAGUGGAAUUCCAUGUGUAGCGGUGAAAUGCGUAGAGAUAUGGAGGAAACACCAGUGGCGAAGGCGACUCUCUUGGUCUGUAACUGACCCCUGAGGAACGAAA
rnacentral:rRNA from 1 species